rnacentral:lncRNA from 1 species
UCAACAAUGGCUUCUUCAGUUUCUUCUCUUCAAUUUCUCUUUGUAACUCCACAAACCCUUUCUUCUCUAAAACCCAAUUCCGCACCAACUUCAUUUUCCUUCUUCUCUCUUCCUUCAUCUUCUCUGAAUCUUUCUUUAUCUUCUUCAACCCCUUCUUCUUCUAUCAAGCCUUUUGAAUCUUCUUCGUUCGGUUCUCGGUUUGUUCGUAACGUGGCGUUAUCUGAAUUUGACCAAUUGGAAGAUGAUGUCGGAGAAGUAGAAGAAGAACCCAAUUUCUCUCCGGACCUUAAACUCUUUGUUGGUAAUUUGCCGUUCAGUGUUGACAGUGCUGCACUUGCUGAGCUUUUCGAACGAGCUGGAAAUGUUGAGAUGGUUGAGGUAAUUAAGCUAAUUAUUCAUUGUUUCUAUUGUUGGGAAACGUUAAUUUUGCUGAUUUAUGUUGAUGAAAAGAACAAUUAAGUAAAUAGAAUUGUGCCCUGUUAUAGCUGGCAGAGCAUUUGCAGGUACAUGGUCAUGUUAAGACGUAAUUAAAUAAGUAAAAGUGGCGGAGCUAGAAAUUUUAAUGAUUGUGUGUCAAAAUAUAAAAAGUUUUAGGUAAAUAGUGAUAAUGAGAACAUGCUAUGAAACUUUUUCGAUAUAGUAGUAAAACGUUUUCUCCAUGCUUGCUCAAGUAUCAUGGAGAAAGGGCUGUGUUUUGUACUUUUCCAGGUAGUGAGCUCGAGAAGAUUUGUUUUCUAUAUUGAGUUUUCGAGUGGAUGUGAGAUGCAAGGAUUGUAUAGGAAGGUAUUGAAGUUGUUAUAAUUUUGCAGGUUAUAUAUGACAAGCUCACAGGAAGAAGCAGAGGGUUUGGUUUUGUGACAAUGUCGUCGAAAGCGGAAGUGGAAGCUGCUGAGCAACAAUUCAAUGGAUAUGUAAAGUUUUGCUCUUUGUUCUUGCCAUUUAUUAGUAUCUUCAAGUGUACUUAUAUUACAAUGUUUGUUUAAUGUUUCGAUAAGUGAAUAUGGCUUGCUAUGCUAAUUAGCUGCUGAUGAAAACACUUUCUAGUCUCACUUUUCAACUUGUCAUUUGUGUAAUCUAAAAAUCUUGUCUUUCCAAAAGAAGUGCUUGGACAUGCAUAUCUAAGUAAAUGUUUUGAUGUUUCUCUUGCAGGAAAUCGACGGGAGGGCAUUGAGAGUGAACUCUGGGCCAGCACCAGAGAAAAGGGAGAAUUCAUUUGGAGGUGGACGAGGUGGGAGAAGUGAAAAUUCCUCUUAUGGAGGUGGGAGAAGUGAGAAUUCUUCUUAUGGAGGUGCACGAGGUGGGAGAAAUUUCGAUAGCUCCAACAGAGUCUAUGUAGGAAACCUCUCAUGGGGUGUCGAUGACCUUUCACUUAGAGAAUUGUUCAGUGAUCAAGGCAAAGUUGUGGAUUGCAAAGUAGUCUAUGACAGAGAUAGUGGUAGAUCAAGGGGCUUUGGAUUUGUGACAUUCAGUUCUGCUCAAGAGGUCAACAAGGCAAUUGAUAGCUUGAAUGGCUUUGUAAGUAUAUUUUACUAAUCCUGAUUAAACAAGGAUUAUGAAUCAUCCGAUAUCUGUUUACUAGUUGAACCACAAAUUACUUUGGUUUCAGCUUUGCUAGAUGUUGUUUCUCAUUCGACUUUGAGUUUUUGUGAAAAGAUGCUCAAUAUGUUCAUCAGGCUGUUCUGAUACUAUGUAUCUGGUGUGAUUUGUUGUGCAGGACCUUGAUGGCAGGUCCAUUCGUGUAAGUGCUGCAGAAGAGCGACCCCCUAGGCGUCAAUUUUGAAUGUGUUAAAUUACAUCUUUUUGAUUGAGAAAAACUUGAGGUAAACAACUCACAUGUUCAUGUUUCAAAUUUAUGUGUAGUCUCUUAAAAGGCAGAGCCGAGAACUCAUCAAUGUAUACUCUUAUAUGGUUAUUUUACGGUUCAAAGCUCUUGUUGAAUGUGUUUUAGCUUCUUACAAAUGUAAAAUCUUACAUGGCAGGGCCUGGAAAUGAUGAAAAUCGCAACAAAGCUCAUGAAAUGCUUGCAACCUUCAACACCUGCUACUAGUUUUACACCAAAUUUGGUACAAAAUUUUGGUAUCUGCAUCUAGACUAAUGCGAG